UAAUUUUGUUWUAAAAAUUAAAGAAGUAUUUGUUAUAUUCUUGAAAUUUAAAGAUUUUGGCGGUAUUUUAGUCUUUUCAGAGGAACCUGUUCUAUAAAUGAUAAUCCACGAUAUUAAAUACUUAAUUUUUUAAUUUAUAUAUCGUUGUUAAUAAAAUAUUUUAAAAGAAUAAAUAUUUAAUAAGUAAAAUUUUAAAAUAAAUCAAAUCAAGAUGUAGUUUAUAAUUAAGAAGAAAUGGGUUACAAUAAAUUUAUUUUUAGAUAAAAUAAYAAAAUUUAUUUUUGAAAUUGGAUUUGAAAGUAAUUAAUUUAAAAAAUUUAUUUUAAUGAUUAAGCUCUARAAWAUG
rnacentral:rRNA from 1 species